rnacentral:rRNA from 1 species
ACGGAAGGCAGCGGUAGGGAAUAUUGCACAAUGGGGGAAACCCUGAUGCAGCAACGCCACGUGUGGGAAGAAGCAUUUCGGUGUGUAAACCACUGUCGUGAGGGAAUAAUGCUUAAUUUCGGUUAAGUUGAAUGUACCUCGAAAGGAAGCACCGGCAAACUUCGUGCCAGCAGCCGCGGUAAUACGAGGGGUGCAAGCGUUGUUCGGAAUCACUGUGCGUAAAGGGAGCGCAGGCGGAGAUGCAAGCAGUCUGUACAAUCCCGGGGCCCAACCCCGGACCUGCAGACUGGACUGUUUCUCUUGGAUAGUUCAGGGGCAAGCGGAAUUCCUGGUGUAGCGGUGGAAUGCGUAGAGAUCAGGAAGAACACCGAUGGCGAAGGCAGCUUGCUGGGGACUUAUCGACGCUCAUGCUCGAAAGUGCGGGUAGCAAACAGGAUUAGAUACCCUGGUA